UACAUAUAAAACAAGCGUUGUUCAGAAUUACUGGGCAUAAAAAAUGCAUAGACAACUUGUUAAGUCACUGGUGAAAGUUUUCGGCCCAACCGGAAAAUUGCCUGUGAUACUGGCGAACUUGAGUGCGUAAAAAAUAAAAAAAACAAGCAAUGUAACGGUGAAAUGCGUAAAUAUUGCUCGGAAAACCGGAGCCGAAAAAGCCCCACUGGUACGCAACUGACGCUGAGGCACGAAAGCGUGAAAAACAAACAGG
rnacentral:rRNA from 1 species